UUGUGGUUGCAUUCCCAUUCUGCUGGAUCUGUUGUUGUUGCUGGUGCUGAAGCUGAAGCUGUAGGCCAUGGUGAUUGAUGGAAGAUUGGGGCAUUACUCCGUUGGAGGGAUGAGACUGCGCAUUUAGCUCUGUUGUAGCGAGUUUCAAUCUCUGAACCUCCGCGGUUAAGGCUUCGUUAAGAGCAUCCCGUAGUUGUGCUUGUUGUUCCAUGGCUUGUAGUCGA
rnacentral:misc_RNA from 1 species